rnacentral:rRNA from 1 species
GACGAACGCUGGCGGCGUGCUUAACACAUGCAAGUCGAACGAGUGGCGAACGGGUGAGUAAUACGUGGGUAACCUGCCCUCUUUUUGGGAUAAGACUUGGAAACGGGGGCUAAUACCGAAUAAAGGGGGAGGGGCUCGAGGCCUAUCAGCUUGUUGGUGGGGUGAGGGCCUACCAAGGCGGUGACGGGUAGCCGGCCUGAGAGGGUGACCGGACACGUGUGUACGUGGAUACGGGCCAGACUACUACGGGAGGCAGCGGUGGGGGAGAGUGCACAAUGGGGGAAAGCCUGAUGCGGCGAGGGCGCGUGGGAGAUGAAGGCUUUCGGCUUAUAAGCCUCUUUCACUAUCAAACUAGGUGGAUAGGAAGCGCCGGCUAACUACGUGCCAGCCGCCGCGGUAAUUC